CUGACAGCCCAGGAAACUUGAAUUCUCUAUCCACAGAACAUGUACAGCAUGGGCAGAGGACAAUACAAACUUCACCACCAUCACUCCACUAAUGUGCCUCUUCUCAGAACUGGAGAGACCGUAUGUAGGGGUGAGAGUGUGGUGCAGUGACCAUAGUUUAUUUAAUCCUUAGCCGCC
ensembl:misc_RNA